rnacentral:rRNA from 1 species
AUACGGAGGGUGCGAGCGUUAAUCGGAAUUACUGGGCGUAAAGCGCGCGUAGGCGGUUUGUUAAGUCGGAUGUGAAAUCCCCGGGCUCAACCUGGGACCUGCAUCCGAUACUGGCAGGCUAGAGUCUGGUAGAGGGGGGUAGAAUUCCUGGUGUAGCGGUGAAAUGCGUAGAUAUCAGGAGGAAUACCAGUGGCGAAGGCGGCCCCCUGGACUGAGACUGACGCUGAGGUGCGAAAGCGUGGGGUGCAAACAGGAUUAGAAACCCUAGUAGUCC